ACGGGAGGCAGCAGUGGGGAAUAUUGCACAAUGGGGGAAACCCUGAUGCAGCGACGCCGCGUGAGUGAAGAAGUAUUUCGGUAUGUAAAGCUCUAUCAGCAGGGAAGAAAAUGACGGUACCUGACUAGGAAGCCCCGGCUAACUACGUGCCAGCAGCCGCGGUAAUACGUAGGGGGCAAGCGUUAUCCGGAUUUACUGGGUGUAAAGGGAGCGUAGACGGUAAUGCAAGUCAGAAGUGAAAGCCCAGGGCUCAACCGUGGGACUGCUUUUGAAACUGUAAUACUGGAGUGCAGGAGAGGUAAGUGGAAUUCCUAGUGUAGCGGUGAAAUGCGUAGAUAUUAGGAGGAACACCAGUGGCGAAGGCGGCUUACUGGACUGUAACUGACGUUGAGGCUCGAAAGCGUGGGGAGCAAACAGGAUUAGAUACCCUGGUA
rnacentral:rRNA from 1 species